UUUAUUAAUUCAACAGUUUUUUCUUUCAAGUUUAUUAAUUUCUCCUUUUAAUUUUAGAAUUUCAAGUUUAAUAUUUGAUUGGGGGGGGUUUAAUUUGGUCCUUUUCUAGCUUUUUAAGUUGCAAUCCCAAUUCAUUUAUCUUCUCUUUCUCUAUUUUAUUCAAGUAAGCUUCUAAAGAUAUAAAAUUUCCCCCUAUUACCAUUUUGGUUGCAUCCCACAAAUUUUGGUAUGAUGUCUCAUUGAUCAUUUUCUUGGGUGAAAUUAUUAAUUGUAUUUAUUAUUUUCUGUUUCACCCAGUCAUUCUUUAGGAUGAAAUUAUUUAAUUUCCAAUUACUUUUUGGUCUAUUUACCCUUACCUUUUUGUUGAAUGUAGUUUUUAUUGCAUCGUGACCUAAAAAGAAUGCAUUUACUAUUUCUGCUUUUCUGCAUUUAAUUUUGAGGUCUUUAUGUCUUAAUAUUUUAUCAUUUUUUUGUAUAGGUUCCAUGAACUGCUGCUAUCUCCAUUCAGUUUUCUCCAAAAAUCUAUCAUACCUAACUUUUCUAAUAUUCUAUUUACCUCUUUAACCUUUUUCUUAUUUGUUUUGUGGUUUGAUUUGCCUAAUUCUGAGAGUGCAAGGUUGAGAUCUCCCAGUAUUAUAGUUUUGCUGUCUAUUCCCUCUAUCAUCUUAAUGAUAUUUAUACAUUUGAGAGUUCCAUGUACUAACGAAAUCAUAGAUCUAGUCCCUAUCUUUAUAUAUGCAUAUGAAGCUCAAGAUAGUAAAAUCAGCUCUUCCAAAGAACUUUAUAGAUGGAAACCAGCAGGAAAAUGACAAAUAGUUUGGAGAGAGAACCCAUUAGUUGGCACAUUGUCAAUGAUCUUUCUUAUUUAUGUAUCCUUGAUCUAAAAUAUUAUGGAAGUACUAUCUUCAAGGAAUUAUGUUUUGGUUUAGAGUAUAAGGUUUUUGUAUUUUUUCUUUAUGCUUUAUUUCCCCCUUUUGUUUUUACAUAAAUGAUUUGAAAAUCAGCCCUCACCCAAACCUGAAUUUCAGAAAUGAACCCUGUUCUUUAAUAAGGAAAAAAUAGUUAAGCACAAAAGAGUAAUAUAAUGACUAUGGCUAAAUUCACUAUCUAAUUAAUCUCCAGAAUCAAGACUUCAUAAUAAAGUUAUUCUAUUUAACUUUCUGUUUGUGUUCUUUUAAUUUUAAUUGUUAAUUUUUACUACACACUUAACUUUGAAUCAAUUUGUAUGCAUCUUUUCAAGUUUCUCUGAAUUUCUUUUUUUGUUGCAUGAUAACAGUCCUUUAUGUCCAUAUACUGUAUGUUGCUCAGCCAUUCCUUAAUCCACAUGUUACUACUUUGUUUUCAAUUCUUUGCUAUCAUAAAAUGGCAUCUUGAUGUUCUUGGAACACAUGCCCAGGGGAGGCAUGACUGGAUUAAAGGAUAUAAACAAUUUAAUUAUUUUUUUUACAUAAUUUUCCAGAAUCCUUGGACUAGUUCAUAGCUAUAUCAUCAGUAAAUUCAUGAAGCUAUCUUUCCUUAGUUUCUCCAAUAUUGGUUAUCAAUUUUUUCUUUUUUUGGGUAGGAGGGCUGUUAUCUUUGACAAUUUUCUAAAUAUGGGAUAAAACAUCAGAAAUGGCUUUAAUUUCUCUUAGUUUUUCAUAUGUUUCCAUGUGGUCACCAGUAUUUUUCAAUUAUUUUGAAAACAGUUUACAUUGUCUGACAGCUUACUUUACUGGGACAAAUUUCUUGUGUUUACAUAUUGGGAUGUUACAUACUUCUGUCUCAUCUACUGAUCUGUCAUUACUCUAUUUUCUUUAAAGAUUAAUUUCUCUACACAUGCUUACUAUACAUUGUUGCUUUUAGGAGAAAAGCUAGAUAAAUGUAAAAAAACAAAGAAACAAACACUAUCUCUCUAGAUUAGUGCUUAUAGUUUUCCUUCAGUGUUUAUAUUUUCUGAUUCUUUUCUUCAGGACUGUUAGCAUCA
ensembl:lncRNA